rnacentral:rRNA from 1 species
AUUGAACGCUGGCGGCAUGCCUUACACGUGCAAGUCGAACGGUAACAGGUCUUCGGAUGCUGACGAGUGGCGAACGGGUGAGUAAUACAUCGGAACGUGCCUAGUAGUGGGGGAUAACUACUCGAAAGAGUGGCUAAUACCGCAUGAGAUCUACGGAUGAAAGCAGGGGAUCGCAAGACCUUGUGCUACUAGAGCGGCCGAUGGCAGAUUAGGUAGUUGGUGGGAUAAAAGCUUACCAAGCCGACGAUCUGUAGCUGGUCUGAGAGGACGAUCAGCCAAACGGGGACUGAGACACGGCCGAGACUCCUACGGGAGGCAGCAGUGGGGAAUUUUGGACAAGGGGCGAAAGCCUGAUCCAGCAAUGCCGCGUGCAGGAUGAAGGCCUUCGGGUUGUAAACUGCUUUUGUACGGAACGAAAAGCCCCGGGUUAAUACCCUGGGGUCAUGACGGUACCGUAAGAAUAAGCACCGGCUAACUACGUGCCAGCAGCCGCCGUAA